rnacentral:sRNA from 1 species
GCCGGGCAGGGUGGCGCCCUCCUGUAAUCCCAGUGACUCAGGAGGCGGAGGUAGGAGGAUCACAGGUUCAAAGCCAGCCUCAGCAACAGCAAGGCGCUAAGCAACUCAGUGAGACCCUGUCUCUA